UACGGAAGGCAGCAGGGGGAAUAUUGCACAAUGGGCGAAAGCCUGAUGCAGCUAUGCCGCGUGUAUGAAGAAGGCCUUAGGGUUGUAAAGUACUUUCAUCGGGGAGGAAAAAACAAAACUAAUAAUUUUAUUUCUUGACGUUACCCGAAAAAGAAGCACCGGCUAACUCCGUGCCAGCAGCCGCGGUAAUACGGAGGGUGCUAGCGUUAAUCAGAAUUACUGGGCGUAAAGAGCACGUAGGUGGUUUUUUUAAGUCAGAUGUGAAAUCCCUGGGCUUAACCUAGGAACUGCAUUUUGAAACUGAAAUACUAGAGUAUCGUAGAGGGAGGUAGAAUUCUAGGUGUAGCGGUGAAAUGCGUAGAUAUCUGGAGGAAUACCUGUGGCGAAAGCGGCCUCCUAAACGAAUACUGACACUGAGGGUGCGAAAGCGUGGGGAGCAAACAGGGAUUAGAUACC
rnacentral:rRNA from 1 species